rnacentral:rRNA from 1 species
GACGAACGCUGGCGGCGUGCUUAACACAUGCAAGUCGUACGGUAAGGCCCUUUCGGGGGUACACGAGUGGCGAACGGGUGAGUAACACGUGAGUAACCUGCCCACAACUUUGGGAUAACGCUAGGAAACUGGUGCUAAUACUGGAUAUGUGCUCCUGCUGCAUGGUGGGGGUUGGAAAGCUCCGGCGGUUGUGGAUGGACUCGCGGCCUAUCAGCUUGUUGGUGGGGUAGUGGCCUACCAAGGCGGCGACGGGUAGCCGGCCUGAGAGGGUGACCGGCCACAUUGGGACCGAGAUACGGCCCAGACUCCUACGGGAGGCAGCAGUGGGGAAUAUUGCACAAUGGGCGCAAGCCUGAUGCAGCAACGCCGCGUGCGGGAUGACGGCCUUCGGGUUGUAAACCGCUUUCAGCAGGGACGAAGCUUUUUGUGACGGUACCUGCAGAAGAAGCACCGGCUAACUACGUG